rnacentral:rRNA from 1 species
CCUACGGGAGGCAGCAGUGAGGAAUAUUGGUCAAUGGACGAGAGUCUGAACCAGCCAAGUAGCGUGAAGGAUGACUGCCCUAUGGGUUGUAAACUUCUUUUAUAAAGGAAUAAAAUGAGGCACGUGUGCCUUUUUGCAUGUACUUUAUGAAUAAGCAUCGGCUAACUCCGUGCCAGCAGCCGCGGUAAUACGGAGGAUCCGAGCGUUAUCCGGAUUUAUUGGGUUUAAAGGGAGCGUAGAUGGGUUGUUAAGUCAGUGGUGAAAGUUUGCGGCUCAACCGUGAAAUUGCAGUUGAUACUGGCAGACUUGAGUACAGAUGAGGUAGGCGGAAUUCGUGGUGUAGCGGUGAAAUGCUUAGAUAUCGCGAAGAACCCCGAGUGCGAAGGCAGCUUACUAACCUGUGACUGACGUUGAUGCUCGAAAGUGUGGGUAUCAAACAGGAUUAGAUACCCCUGUAGUC